rnacentral:rRNA from 1 species
GCUUCGCUGACGAGUGGCGGACGGGUGAGUAAUGUCUGGGAAACUGCCUGAUGGAGGGGGAUAACUACUGGAAACGGUGGCUAAUACCGCAUAACGUCGCAAGACCAAAGAGGGGGACCUUCGGGCCUCUUGCCAUCAGAUGUGCCCAGAUGGGAUUAGCUUGUUGGUGAGGUAACGGCUCACCAAGGCGACGAUCCCUAGCUGGUCUGAGAGGAUGACCAGCCACACUGGAACUGAGACACGGUCCAGACUCCUACGGGAGGCAGCAGUGGGGAAUAUUGCACAAUGGGCGCAAGCCUGAUGCAGCCAUGCCGCGUGUAUGAAGAAGGCCUUCGGGUUGUAAAGUACUUUCAGCGGGGAGGAAGGUGUUGUGGUUAAUAACCGCAGCAAUUGACGUUACCCGCAGAAGAAGCACCGGCUAACUCCGUGCCAGCAGCCGCGGUAAUACGGAGGGUGCAAGCGUUAAUCGGAAUUACUGGGCGUAAAGCGCACGCAGGCGGUCUGUCAAGUCGGAUGUGAAAUCCCCGGGCUCAACCUGGGAACUGCAUUCGA